CCCCCGCCGCGCGCGCACGCCUGACGUCAGCGGCCAGCGUGAGUCACGCGCGCAGGGAGAGCGCGAGGCGGCCUUUCCCUCCCCCCUUCGUACUGCGGCCCGGCCCAGACCGGUUCCAACCUGCUGGGGCCGGUCCCAACUGCCUCCAACUGCCACAAACCUCUGGUCGGGCCUUGGGGGCGGGAAACUCGGUCCCGGCUGCUGAGUGGGGAAGGCGGGCGCUUGGGAUGCGGAGUGCACACAUCUCAGGCCGGGCCUUCGAGGCCUGACUGUUCCUCAGACCGUAAAACCACAGUACCAGGCUCUCUGGGGGCGAUACAAAGUCCAAGACCCGAGCCAGAUGAGUUCCGUAGGUGCCAGCCCCAGAAGCGCCGGUGAAUGAGGAUUAGCGUGAAGUCCUGUCAGGAGAUGCCAAGUACCGUGCACAGGAGGCCUUUGUGUCCACAAGGCCACGCUUGUCUGAGUCCACUUAGACAGUUAACUUAGGUAAACAAGCAAAGACGGGCUCCUGUCGACCAUUCCCUUUCCGAGCUAUGCUGACCCAGCCCGAGUCCAGGACCCCCGGGGUGAUGGGGUCCAAGCAGGUCCGCAGGCCCAGCCGAAAUGUGGCAUCACAGGGAACCCCAAAAGUUGACACUGCGAGAGCCCAGUAACAUGGAAGACCUCUUCCUGGGGAAUCUGCUUGGGUCUAAGGCUAUGUUAGAUACUAAAGAAGGCUUCCCCACAAUCCAUAAGCAUCUGCUUUGACUGAUGGUUUCUAUCAACCUACAAAGACUGACUUAUUGGUGAGGGCAGCUGGACAACUCUGAGAGCAACUUAGAGAAAUCCAUCUUGGGCACACUCUAUAAAGGAGCUCCUUCUCUGGAAAUAGCACCCCAGAUAAGUGCACAAAAGCAAGAUACCCUCGUGGACCUACUUCCUCCCGCUUUCAACACCCUGAUGCCUGAAGUGUGUAGAGUUUGACAACAGUUAUCAAGAACUGAUGAGGAGGAGAAGAUGGAAAAGAGUCUAGCAACUUAAAAAUCUCAUAGCGUUUUCUGUGAGACGAUCUUUUUCCUGUUGGUUGCUCAAUUUAUUUAGGACGUAAAGAAGAUACUGAGGCCUGUGACAGUAACAUCAUGCCGUACCUGAGCUUAUUGAAAUAUUUCCUCCCUUUCCUUAUUCUUUAUAUCACAGUUUGCUUUUCACAUUCAUGAAUUGACUAAUAGGAAACAUAUUGGUAUUUAAAACACAGUAUGGUCACCUUAAGUUCUAACAAAAUGGCUUCUAAUGAGGGGGCCGAUAGCCCAAGUUUCUGCUUUCUUACGGAAUUUUGGCCUGUUCACAAAACUACCCUCACUGAAGGAAGGUGGUCGUGUUCAGGGAAGAAGAGGUUGAUAAAACCUUUGGCCUGGUGUUUUGUGACUUAAAAGUCAUAGUUUUUAUCUAAGUGUUUAUUAAUUUUGGUGAAAACAUUACUCUGUCUUCUUAAUGUCACUUUUAUUGCUAAGAGGUUUAGGCAUUUGGUGACCUGUCACUUCAGGAUUUGUGUGAAUCAAACCUAAUCAAAUCUAAUUUAGAGACCAAUAUUUGUAUUAUUUAAGAAAAACAAAAAACUUAAAGUUUACUGUUGCUUUAGGAGUAUUCUAUAACCAGUACAUAAAAUGUGUAUUAAAUAUAUAGUAGAGCAUGUUAAAAUUAACAUUUCUGUUUUUAUUUUAGUAACUUAUUUUGUCAUAUUGUAAUACCACCUGUCAAAAACUUUCCCUAAUAUAGUCUAAACUGCUUCUAGAGAGACACCUAGGCCGAUUUGCUACUACCUUUGGUUUUGCUUUAGCUCAAUUAAAGCUUAGUUAAGACUUACUAAGAGCACUGCUCCAGAGCCAGACCAGCUGGGUAGGAAGCCCAGCUCUGCCACCUCCUGGUUGUGGGAUCUUGGACAACUGACUUACCCUUGAAGCAUCAGUUUCCUGGGGAUACCUGUAGAGCCCGACUCGCGAAUGAGUUAAUAUCUGUAAGGUGCUUAAGACAGUGCCUGGCACUUACCACAGCCUAAGUAUUAUUCUUACCAAAAUUUGAACAAGUCCUGAGUCACUGCUUUCAGUUGGAUUGCUACCUCCUUAAGCAGCCUUUGUCAAAUGCCUUCUUUAGCUGCACCCAUGCUAAAACAUUCUUCAGUUCAUAGCCCACGCCUGGAUCAGUGUUGUCUUCCAGAGCACAAUCCUCUCUUCCCCAUCCGUUCGCAUUUUCUUCAGUCUCCGUUCUUUGUACAGCCUCCAUCACCUGCUUGUAUGGUACAUGAUGUAUCUAAAUCGAUCCACUUCUAUGGGGCCAAAUACUUUGUUAUACAGAAAACUGCAUAUAAAAUAACCUAUCAAUUUAAAUGGGUACACUAAAAUGUUCCUAAAUUAGAGGUUUUGCAGGCCAGUUAUGCCAUAGUGAAUACAAAAAGGCAAUAACAUGCCUUCAACCAAGGAGCAGAUAGAGUAAGAUCUUAAGGCCAGUAUGAACUUCCUAGAGACCAUGAAACUAUUCUAAUGCACAGACACAUACACAGGCACCCACAGGACAAGUGUUACAGAUAUUUAAGCAAGCAAAUGGCAUGUUAUUGGAUCAAAGGCUGACUUUAAAGGUUCAGACUCAGAAAUCCACUAGACAUUUACUUCAUUUGUCUGAAUAGUACUAUCUGAGCUUCCUUUUUCUGCCACAGAAAAAUGUUCUAAACCAGUAUCACUUCAGAAGAUUUGGAAACCAAAUCUCCAUGGCUGGAUAGCAGUUCAUCAGAAUUGUCCAAAUAUUUGCCCACCACCAAUUUCAGCUUUAUUUGGCCUUGUUUUUAAAAGUCAUUUUUGGUGACUGUCACUGGUGUGGUUAUUGUUACAAAGUUAUAUGGUUUCUGGGUUAUAUUUGAUGUCAAAACAUAAUGUGUAUGUGUGUCCUUAUAAACAUCACAUCUAGAACUGCUAGUGAUUUACCUAUCAGCUCUUCAAAAAUGAGGAAACAUUUUCAGCAAAUUGUAAGAAAUAUAUUCAUAGUUGGACACAUAAUUAGGAUUCCUAAUCCAUUCUUUGUAUGUCUUACAAUAUUCUCAUCAAAGUUACAAAAUAUAUUUUAUUCUCAAAUUUAAAAAUGAAGAAUCUUUGAUAAACCAUCAACUGUGAGCUCUAUGACAAAAUUUCUUUUGAGGAGUUAUAUAUGGGGAAGAAAAGAAGUAACUAGUAGGGUUAAUAUGAAUAUGCAAAACAAGAUUACAGAUAAAUGCCAUUUGGGUCUACAGAUACUACAACAAUCUUUAACAUUGACUUUUUUUCCUUUCCUCUGAGGCUAGUUGCAGAAUCGUAUCAUGUGUUUAGAUUUCAAUAAAGAAUGUUUAAGAACAGGGCCCUUUCUUGCAUUUUCCAUGAUAAAACUUGUAUGUUUGUUUAAAAAUACGAAAUUCAGUUUUUAAUGAACUAGCUGGAAUAAAGUUGAACACUGGUGGUUUAUUAGGGAUGGAGGCAGAUCUGUCAAGUUGCCAGGUCUCUACCAGGUGCUGUGCAAGGCUGGUGAGUGACAACCACUGACUGGCAGAGGGGCAGCUCUCCAGGAACAGGUGCUUCCUCAAGCUCGCUGGCCCCUCUAGCUAUAAAAUCAUGACCCGUGUCCUCCAGGCUGAGGGGCAUCUGGAGUGAGUGUAUUCUGUCGGCUUAACCGUUUUGUCAGGCUCACAUCUUGCUUUUCACUAAGGGGGUGAUGCACACCACUGGGCAGGGUCAGGGAAUCCCUCACAGCAGAGAAGAAGCCGGAAGGGUGAUCCAUACAAAAGGAACAACAUGAUCGAAAGUGUGGAGAUGUGAGGCCGGGAUGUGAUGUGUUGGAGAAUGCCAACUCUUUAGAGCAGGGGUCAGCAAACUGACCUGCUUGCCACAUCCAGCCUGCUGUCUGCUUUUGUGUGGCCUGUGAACUAAGAAUGUUUUUUACAUUUUUUAGUGGUUGAAAAAAAGAUUUCAUGACACGUAAAAAUUAUGAAAUUCAGAUUUCAGUGUUCAUAAAUAAACUUUUAUCGGAACCCACGCUCAUUCAUUUACAUAUCUGUGGCUGCUUUCUUUCACACUGUAACAGCCGAGUUGAGUGGUUGUGACAGAGAUCAUAUGUGUCAUUCAUCACUUUGCGGCUUGGUGCAUUACAAAUCGUGCUGACCCAGUUAUAAUUCGCAAGUGUUUCCAGGGCCAUGUGCAUCAGCCUACCACAACUUUUAUUUUUUAUUACUAAUGCAUGUUUCAAAAUGAGAAGAGAAAAAUGGACUUGGAAUGUUAUACUUUUAAGGUACAGUGGAGUGUAGAUUGUUUUGUUAUCAAAAUAGAUGGUAAAACAUCAUGUUUAUUAUGCAAUUACACUAUAGCUGAGCUAAAAGAAUACUUCAUUACCAGGUUAAGCACUCAUCACAGUAUUCUCAACUCCCAGGAAAGCAGUGAUGAGACAAAUUAGAAAAUUUAAAAGAAUAUCUCAUCAGCAGAAUUCUUCACAGAAAAAAGAAAACAAGGCUACAACUGAAGUAAGUUUCCAAGCAAUUCAUUUGUUAGCCAAGCAAAGAAAACUGUUUACCGAUGUUGAGUUAAUUGUGUUUGCAGCAGCUGAAGAAGUGUGUCCACAGAAAAUAAACUUAAGACUUUUAGCUUUUCACAAGAACAGUUUCUCGAAGAGUUAAGGACAUAGGUCAGGAAUGAUCUCAGUCAAUUUUAAAGCAAGGCAGAUGAUUUCUUGUGGUUUUCCUUGGCUCUUGAUAUGACAGGUGUUACUGUUACAAUAAAUAAAUUGUUAUUCCUGGAGUCAUUGCCAAGUUUGAAGUGACUGAAAAUUAGCUUCUAUGAAGAGUCUACUUGGAACAACUGCAGGAGAGAAUCUUUUCAGAGUUAAGAAAACAAAGUCUACCCUGAAGUAUAAUCUGCUAAGUGUUAAACUGAUGUGGAACAGAAAAAGGUUCUGUUGGACAGAUUUACAAAGGUUGUGAAAAAGUAAGGGGUUGUGCCAGUUUGGAUGUAUUAUGUCCCCUCAAACGCCGUUAUCUUUAAUGCAGUCUUGUGGGGGCAGACAUAUUAAUGUGGAUUAGGUUGGAAC